UACAGAGGGCUCAAGCGUUGUUCGGAUUCAUUGGGCGUAAAGGGUGCGUAGGCGGCGCGGGAAGUCGGGUGUGAAAUCUCGGGGCUCAACCCCGAAACUGCACUUGAUACUGCCUUGCUCGAGUACUGGAGAGGAGAUUGGAAUUUACGGUGUAGCAGUGAAAUGCGUAGAUAUCGUAAGGAAGACCAGUGGCGAAGGCGAAUCUCUGGACAGUUACUGACACUGAGGCACGAAGGCCAGGGGAGCAAACGGG
rnacentral:rRNA from 1 species